GUUGCUUCAUAAUGGUGAAUACUCUCACAAUUAAAUGAGAGAAAUUCAAGUUUCCGGAGCAUAAAUUACCUUUUUUUUUAAAAAAAAACGCCAGGAUUAAACAGCUCAAUGUAGUUACUAAUUGCCUUGACGUUACCUGUCUCCUGGCACAUUC